rnacentral:rRNA from 1 species
AAGUGGUGCGACGAACCAGAGCUUGCUCUGGGCAAAGCCGCGAACGGGUGAGUAACACGUGGGUAAUCACCCCGAUGACCGGGACAACCCGAGGAAACUCGGGCUAAUACCGGAUGUGGUGUACUGGCAUAAGCCGGUCACUAAGGUAGCUUCGGCUUCCGCAUUGGGACGGGCCGCGGCCCAUUAGCUUGUUGGUGGGGUCAAGGCCUACCAAGGCAACGAUGGGUAGCUGGUCUGAGAGGACGAUCAGCCACACUGGGACUGAGACACGGCCCAGACUCC